rnacentral:rRNA from 1 species
AUUGAACGCUGGCGGAAUGCUUUACACAUGCAAGUCGAACGGCAGCACGGGGCAACCUGGUGGCGAGUGGCGAACGGGUGAGUAAUACAUCGGAACGUGCCCAAUCGUGGGGGAUAACGUAGCGAAAGUUACGCUAAUACCGCAUACGAUCUACGGAUGAAAGCGGGGGAUCGCAAGACCUCGCGCGAAUGGAGCGGCCGAUGUCAGAUUAGGUAGUUGGUGGGGUAAAGGCUCACCAAGCCGACGAUCUGUAGCUGGUCUGAGAGGACGACCAGCCACACUGGGACUGAGACACGGCCCAGACUCCUACGGGAGGCAGCAGUGGGGAAUUUUGGACAAUGGGCGCAAGCCUGAUCCAGCCAUUCCGCGUGCAGGAUGAAGGCCU